GAUGAACGCUGGCGGCGUGCCUAAUACAUGCAAGUCGAACGGAGAUUGUAGCAAUACGGUCUUAGUGGCGAACGGGUGAGUAACGCGUUGGUAACCUGCCCCGAAGCGUGGGAUAACGGUCCGAAAGGGCCACUAAUACCACAUGUGAUCCCGAGGAAUAGAUACUUGGGAUGAAAGGAGCAAUUCGCUUCGGGAGGGACCUGCGUCCCAUCAGCUAGUUGGUAGGGUAACGGCCUACCAAGGCGAUGACGGGUAGGGGACCUGAGAGGGUGGCCCCCCACAAUGGAACUGAAACACGGUCCAUACACCUACGGGUGGCAGCAGUAGGGAAUAUUGGUUAAUGUGCGAAAGCGCGAACCAGCAACGCCGCGUGUGCGAUGAAGGCCUUCGGGUCGUAAAGCACUUUUUGCAGGGAAGAGGAAGGACGGUACCUGCAGAAUAAGUCUCGGCUAACUACGUG
rnacentral:rRNA from 1 species